rnacentral:lncRNA from 10 species
GUGAGACACUGCACUCAUUUUUAGGUCACUGAAGCAGGAGCUGUCACCAGGUAUAAUCAGCCAGCACUCACCGGGACAUGAAGGAACGCCUUUGCUUCUGUCUUCCUCAUGGGGGCCAGCUGCUAGAUCUUGAAGACACUUAGCCAUCCCUGUAGAGAGACCCAUGUCGCGAGGAACUGAGGCCUGCUGACAACCAUGCGGGUCCUUCAGCAGGGAUCCUUCUUUGCCAUCACAGAAGACCACAGCCCCGACUAAUGUCUCAGCAGCAACCUCAUGAGAGUCCCUGGGUCCAGGGACCACCCAGGAAAGCUGCUCCUGAACUCCUGACGCACAGAAACUGUGAGAAAAUAAAUGUUCAUUGUUUUAAGUGGCU